rnacentral:rRNA from 1 species
AUUGAACGCUGGCGGCAGGCCUAACACAUGCAAGUCGAGCGGUAGAGAGAAGCUUGCUUCUCUUGAGAGCGGCGGACGGGUGAGUAAUGCCUAGGAAUCUGCCUGGUAGUGGGGGAUAACGUUCGGAAACGGACGCUAAUACCGCAUACGUCCUACGGGAGAAAGCAGGGGACCUUCGGGCCUUGCGCUAUCAGAUGAGCCUAGGUCGGAUUAGCGAGUUGGUGAGGUAGUGGCUAACCAAGGCGACGAUCCGUAACUGGUCUGAGAGGAUGAUCAGUCACACUGGAACUGAGACACGGUCCAGACUCCUACGGGAGGCAGCAGUGGGGUAUAUUGGACAAUGGGCGAAAGCAUGAUCCAGCCAUGCCGCGUGUGGGAAGAAGGUCUUCGGAUUGUAAAGCACUUUAAGUUGGGAGGAAGGGUUGUAGAUUAAUACUCUGCAAUUUUGACGUUACCGACAGAAUAAGCACCGGCUAACUCUGUGCCAGCCGCCGCCGUAA